rnacentral:lncRNA from 1 species
CAUUAAUCAAGCAGGCAUAUUGAGAUUAGUCAGCCCAGAGGCACUCAUAUGGAGUAUGCAAGAGUUGGAGUGCCAGGAAGCCUUCUGGGCACACCGACUGCCUGGCACAUCAGGCUGAUUUCAGCAGGGCUAACCGCUGCUCCCAGUGUGCUUCUGGGCUCACAGAACAGCCCCAGCACCAUCUAGAGUGAAUCUUCAUAGAAUGUCUUUGCCAUGGCAUGAGCCACUUUCACCACCUUCUUCUCCUUGGCAUCCGGGCCCAUGUUGCUGCGGGCUACUUUGAUCCAAUACUGCUCCGUCCUGGACAGAUAGUCUGCAUGCUUCUCAUCAGGCUGAACAGAUGGGUGUUGCUCCUCUCCUUCUUCAUCCUCACUAUCCUCUUCAGAGCUCUCUUCUUCUUCCCCUCCUUCUGCACCCUCCACAUCAUCCUCCUCUUCCUCUGACUCCGAUUCCUCCAGCCAUUCUUGUGUUUCUUUGGUGAGAAAGAAGAAAUAAACAAGCUGGAGACAGCAGGGAGAGACUUGGGUCUAUCUCCACUAGCACCUUCCAUUCUUCCAUCUUGUGCAGGUCGAUGCUGUAGAGGUCACUGAGGGUGAACUGGCGAUCACCCACCUCAAACAUUCCUCCAUACACAUACAGAACCCCAUGCUUCACUGCCAGCAUGGCAUUCGAACGUGGGCAUGGCUCCACUUGCGGGCCCAAGGCUCCAUCUUCCUCCUCCUCCUCCGAUUCAGACCGCUCCUUCUCAUCCGCAGGCCCAGAGAUCACCUGCUUGAUUGUCAUGACAGUCCCAUCUUCUGCCACCACCUCUUUGACUAUCUCCACUGGGCCUUGUGGGGCUUGCUUCUCUACCUCAUCAUCUCCACCAUCCGUCUCAGCUUGUCUGCCACGUCUUCGCUUCCUCUUCUCUGACUUUGGUACCUUCAACUGUCCAGGAAACCAACGGUUCUUCCCAGUAUCGUAGAAAUAAAUAUCAUUGAAGAAGUCCCCUUCAAUGCUCUCUUCCUCUUCUUCAUCGUGCACACCUCCAAAGAGAAGGGAACGGUUGUUGGGACCAAUUGCCACGGAGAAGCCAGACCUGGGAGUGGGUUUCACUCCAGAUGGGUUGAGUCGACUCCAUACCCACUUAUCCUCCUCCUUGCCUGAACCUUCAGUCUUCAGCAGGAACAUAUCUGUAUGCAGGGUGCCUUUGUCAACAUCUUUCUUAACUCUCUGUUUCGAG